rnacentral:rRNA from 1 species
UUCCGGUUGAUCCUGCCAGAGGUCACUGCUAUCGGUGUCCGAUUAAGCCAUGCGAGUCGAGAGGUGUAAGACCUCGGCAGACUGCUCAGUAACACGUGGAUAACCUGCCCAAGGGCCCGGGAUAACCCCGGGAAACUGGGGAUAAUACCGGAUGGGUCACCAGUGCUGGAAUGCUUGGUGGUCGAAAGGUGACGCCUUUGGAUGGGUCUGCGGCGGAUUAGGUUGACGCCGGUGUAACGUACCGGCGUGCCUGUAACCCGUACGGGUUGUGGGAGCAAGAGCCCGGAGAUGGAUUCUGAGACACGAAUCCAGGCCCUACGGGGCGCAGCAGGCGCGAAAACUCUACAAUGCAGGCAACUGCGAUAGGGGGACAUCGAGUGGCAUCCACCUUGGGUGUCUGUCCAACCGUCUAAAAAACGGUUGUUAGCAAGGGCCGGGCAAGACCGGUGCCAGCCGCCGCGGUAAUACUGGCGGCUCGAGUGGUGGCCGAUAUUAUUGA